CUAGAACUACUAGAAAUGCUAGAACUUCUUACUGCUAUACGGACUUAAAUGAGGAGCCAAGGAGAAAAAGAUUAAAUUCAUUUCUAAGGGAUAAUACUGAAACUGGCCAAGAGCAGUCUGACCUAGAUCAAUAUAACAAUGAACCAUUGUUGAGUUGGAAAGAAGGUGAAUACUUCGACAUUUUGAGCUGGUGGAAGGCCCAUGGUGCAAAAUAUCCUAUCCUCGCUCGAGUUGCAAGGGAUGUUUUGGCUAUCCCUACGACAACAGUAGCAUCUGAAUCUGCAUUCAGUUCUGGAGGAAGAGUUGUUCACAAAUAUCGUAGCCGUUUGGACCCUCAAGUUGUUGAGGCACUUAUUUGCACCAAGGAUUGGAUAAGAGCAUCAAGGAUAGAUCAAAGUGGCGUACCUUCAAUUCUUGACGAUUUAGCUGGUCUUAGUAUAAAUGAAGUCCAACAAGAUGAAGGUGCUCCUGCUGAUGCUGGUGACACCAUUGUGGAUCUGGAACUGGAAGAAAAUUAGGAUGGCUCUUUCUUUAG